AACAUUAUAAAGUAACACUUUUAAAAUAGGUAACGUUUAAAGGUAACACUAAAAGGUGUUACCUUAUUUUUAAGAAGAAAUUAAAUAUUUACAAUUAAAAAAAGUAAGCACUAUCCCAAAAGUCUCAAUUUUCCUUAUUUGCCGUCAAAGAAAAAAAAAUGAAUUUGGGUUUAACUUUGUGAAAUCUGUGAAACCGCCAAAGACCAAAAGAAAAAAAAAAGGAAAAAGUUAGAAAAAGUCGUAUUACAAAACUUCCUUUUCCCAAAUAGAGGUAACUAUUCAUCCUUAGGUUUAAUUUAUCAGAAAAUCGUCGUCUCGAUCCCAAGUUCUAUCGAAUGCGCACUUUCAAAUUCAGGUUUCAUCGAAUUCGCGAUUCCAAUUUUCUGGUCUUAAUCGUCGUCUCCAUCGUGGUGUUGAUCGGGAUUUAUCGAAUUCACGGGCUUCCAAUUGUAGGAAUGCGGCUUGUGGUUUGUUCACUGGAUUGACUCGUGUUAGGAGAUUCCAGCAGGUACCUUUUAACUAUUCUGCUACUUUAUGGUGUUAGGGUGAAGGAAUUGAGUUCCCACUAAGUUGGGUGUUUCACAACUGAAUGUUAUGUUAAAGGCUGUCAAGUUUGCAAGAUAUAGGUUAGUAUGCAUAUAUAAUAGAAAUGCGUUCUCAUUUCUUCGUGGUGGCUGGAAAAGGCAUCCUAACACUUGUGAAUGUUGCUUGUAUUAUAAUAUGCUUUAAUUUCUUAUCAAUUUGUUUCUCGUGCGUUAUUUUAGCACUUGUGUAGGAUCCUUUGUAUGAUUAUCAGCUCAUGAAUACAUGAGCUGCUUUGAGCUCCGGUUGACUUCUGUUAAUUUUCUGACUCAAAAGAACUAUGCUGCUAGUUUGUUUAUUUCAGUAUGUGAUUUAUGUCAGUCAUUGGUAGUCAAAAUGAUUGAAGAUACGUUGUUUCUUAUGUGAAUGGCUGACUGAUUUUGAUGUUGACGUAAAUAGCAGCUAGAGACCGGAGAUAAAAGACAUUUUGGUCGAAGGUUCUUUGGAAGAUUGGGUAGUUUCAAAUUGGGCUGACAUAUAGGUGUAAGAAACUAAGCAUGCUUAUGACAUUGUCUUCUUACCUAGUUUGAUGUUUACAUGUUCUAUAAUAAUAGAUCGAUGAUUCAUGAAGCAGAACACUGAAGGUUCGCUUUUACUUCUGAAUCUGCUGCUCCUAGCUGUCUGAAUGGUUAUCAAGAUGCGAAAAUAUCCUUUAGAGACAAAACCUUAAGGACAGAAAUGGGUAACCAAUGAAAGAAGUUUCAAGAUGUUAAGGCAUAUGAAUAAUCUGUAUAUUUUCUUGAGUUGUCUUUGUUAAUCUAACCUUAUUGUUUUUGUUGUUAUAUAUUCACAAAUUUGAUAUAACCAUAGACUACAGGUGACUAGACGGGACGAUUUGUUGCCUUCUUUUCAGGGUUUAUGCUCAACACUUACUGUAAGUUCCUGGACUAGAUAAACAAACAUGAAAUAAACUACCUUUGUGACAUUGAUGACAUUUGAUAAAUGUUGCUUAUUUUAGAUUUUGCUUGAUAUGUUGGUUUUUAAUUUGUACCCAAGUAUUGGUUGAAAUUCAUAAGAAGACCUAUUGUUUACAGGAGCUUCUCAAAUACCCAAGUGUUGGUUGAAAGUCAUAAGAAGAUCUAUUUGUUCAUUGUAGAGUUUUUUUACAAAAUACUUUUGAAGUUGCAGGGUCUAUUUUCUGGUUGUCGCUAAUGUCGUGUUUAUAUUUUAUACCAUAAUCUUCUUUGGUUUUCUCUACUUAUUUUUUUUGUUUUAUAGAAAUAUCUUUUAUUCGACAUGUUUUUUAAUUAAUUUUUUGUAGGAGUAAGGUCAAGGUGUCAGAGAAUAGAAGACUUAACGCAAAAAAGGAUAUAAGAUAAUUACUCUUAAGAAUUAUAUUUUUUUUGCUUUUCUUGAUUAUGGAUAUUAGAUCUUACUAAUUUUAUACUUUUUAUAGGAUCAAGAUGACGGAUCAGAUUUGAUAGGAAAUGAAGAUUGAGUUGACAUUGAGAAUCAUGCGCAUAUAAGGGAAAACAGAUGAAGAUGGAAACAUAGAAGACAUUGAGUUUUGGAUUUACAUUUUAUUUUUAUAUACAACCAGUUGGUUUUAUUUUGAACGAAUGUAAUUUUCAUAGACCGUACAUCAAAUACAUUAGAAUGUUAGAUUUACCAUCAAAAUGACAUUGGCAUAUUCGUGUAACUAACAAUUUCGGAUUCCAAUUAUUAUCACUAUUCUUCUUUUAUGGUUAAUAAAUUUUUUUCUUAUAAUAA